rnacentral:rRNA from 1 species
GUAGUCUCGCACAGACGCAUAUCAAUAAGCGGAGGAAAAGAAACUAACAAGGAUUCCCCUAGUAACGGCGAGUGAAGCGGGAAGAGCUCAAAUUUGAAAUCUUAAAGGGUUUCCCUUUACGAAUUGUAGUUUAAAGAAGUGUUUUCUGUUGAGGUUUUGGUAAAAGUUCUUUGGAAUAGGACAUCAUAGAGGGUGAGAAUCCCGUAUUUGACCUUUACUUUCAACUUUGUGAUACACUUUCAAAGAGUCGGAUUGUUUGGGAAUGCAGUCCAAAAUGGGUGGUAAAUUUCAUCUAAAGCUAAAUAUUGGCGAGAGACCGAUAGCGAACAAGUACCGUGAGGGAAAGAUGAAAAGAACUUUGAAAAGAGAGUUAAACAGUACGUGAAAUUGUCAAAAGGGAAGCGUUUGACACCAGUGUUGUUUUUCUGAAAAUCAAUUAAAGAACUGUUUAUGCUAAGUUGUUUAGACUUUAUCAGCUAACUGUUUAGUUUUGAGCUUUUCUUUAAUGCACCUUUCAGUUAACAAGUCAACAUCAAUUUCUUUUGCUGUAAAAAAGCUUGAGGAAGGUGGCUUGAGAUUCGUCUUAAGUGUUUAUAGCCUCUUGCCUAUGCAGUCGGAGAGAUUGAGGUCUGCAGCGUAGAUCCUUCGGGGCUAAAUGCAUUUGUGCUAAGUUAUAGCAUUUUAUAGACAACUUGUUGACUAUGAUUUGUCUUGUAGCUUACUCGCUUAUGUUAUUUUACCUACGCUUAGGAUGUUGAUCUGUAGUGCGUGCGC